GAAAUGCGAUAAGUAAUGCGAAUUGCAGAAUUCCGUGAAUCAUCGAAUCUUUGAACGCACAUUGCGCCCUCUGGUAUUCCGGGGGGCAUGCCUGUCCGAGCGUCAUUGCGAACCCCUCAAGCACGGCUUGUGUGAUGGGCCCUCCCGCGUCUUGGUCGUCAAGACGGGCCCGAAAAGCAGUGGCGGCUUCGCGGUUAUCCGAUCAGCCAGAGCGUAUGGGGACUUUCUCUCUGUCACACGCCCGCGGCGCGGACCGACGCCUGUCGACCUUUAUUCAUCUUUUUCUCGGUUGACCCCGGAUCAGGUAGGGAUACCCGCUGAACUUAAGC
rnacentral:misc_RNA from 1 species